rnacentral:ncRNA from 1 species
AGUGGUGAUAGAGGUGCGGACGCAAAUAGUACCGCUGCAGAGGGUGAUGAAACCCGUUGAAGCAGCGUGAAAGGUGCGGACCGCCGAAGCAGAAGAUCGAUUCAUCAGAUUUUUUGCUGGUUCUGUAUUUAAAAAAUGCAGGGCUGUCAGAACUGUCAUGUUCUGGAGAGCUAUCUCACCU